UGAUUGGUGCUUGCAUCAUGAUUUACAUUUGAGUGAGUGGCGAACUGGUGAGUAACACGUGGGAAACCUGCCCAGAAGCGGGGGAUAACACCUGGAAACAGAUGCUAAUACCGCAUAACAACUUGGACCGCAUGGUCCGAGUUUGAAAGAUGGCUUCGGCUAUCACUUUUGGAUGGUCCCGCGGCGUAUUAGCUAGAUGGUGAGGUAACGGCUCACCAUGGCAAUGAUACGUAGCCGACCUGAGAGGGUAAUCGGCCACAUUGGGACUGAGACACGGCCCAAACUCCUACGGGAGGCAGCAGUAGGGAAUCUUCCACAAUGGACGAAAGUCUGAUGGAGCAACGCCGCGUGAGUGAAGAAGGGUUUCGGCUCGUAAAACUCUGUUGUUAAAGAAGAACAUAUCUGAGAGUAACUGUUCAGGUAUUGACGGUAUUUAACCAGAAAGCCACGGCUAACUACGUGCCAGCAGCCGCGGUAAUACGUAGGUGGCAAGCGUUGUCCGGAUUUAUUGGGCGUAAAGCGAGCGCAGGCGGUUUUUUAAGUCUGAUGUGAAAGCCUUCGGCUCAACCGAAGAAGUGCAUCGGAAACUGGGAAACUUGAGUGCAGAAGAGGACAGUGGAACUCCAUGUGUAGCGGUGAAAUGCGUAGAUAUAUGGAAGAACACCAGUGGCGAAGGCGGCUGUCUGGUCUGUAACUGACGCUGAGGCUCGAAAGUAUGGGUAGCAAACAGGAUUAGAUACCCUGGUAGUCCAUACCGUAAACGAUGAAUGCUAAGUGUUGGAGGGUUUCCGCCCUUCAGUGCUGCAGCUAACGCAUUAAGCAUUCCGCCUGGGGAGUACGGCCGCAAGGCUGAAACUCAAAGGAAUUGACGGGGGCCCGCACAAGCGGUGGAGCAUGUGGUUUAAUUCGAAGCUACGCGAAGAACCUUACCAGGUCUUGACAUACUAUGCAAAUCUAAGAGAUUAGACGUUCCCUUCGGGGACAUGGAUACAGGUGGUGCAUGGUUGUCGUCAGCUCGUGUCGUGAGAUGUUGGGUUAAGUCCCGCAACGAGCGCAACCCUUAUUAUCAGUUGCCAGCAUUAAGUUGGGCACUCUGGUGAGACUGCCGGUGACAAACCGGAGGAAGGUGGGGAUGACGUCAAAUCAUCAUGCCCCUUAUGACCUGGGCUACACACGUGCUACAAUGGAUGGUACAACGAGUUGCGAACUCGCGAGAGUAAGCUAAUCUCUUAAAGCCAUUCUCAGUUCGGAUUGUAGGCUGCAACUCGCCUACAUGAAGUCGGAAUCGCUAGUAAUCGCGGAUCAGCAUGCCGCGGUGAAUACGUUCCCGGGCCUUGUACACACCGCCCGUCACACCAUGAGAGUUUGUAACACCCAAAGUCGGUGGGGUAACCUU
rnacentral:rRNA from 2 species